CUGGGCUUGACAUGCACUCGCAAUCCCGAGAAAUCGGGACCUCGCAAGACGGGUGCACAGAUGCUGCAUGGCUGUCGUCAGCUCGUGUCGUGAGAUGUCGGGUUAAGUCCCGCAACGAGCGCAACCCCUGUCCUUAGUUGCAUAUCUAGGGAGACUGCCGGAAACAAACCGGAGGAAGGUGGGGAUGAUGUCAAGUCAGCAUGGCUCUUACGUCCAGGGCUACACACACGCUACAAUGGAGAGUACAAAGAGAUGCCACCCCGCAAGGGGGAGCGGACCUCUAAAAGCUUUCCUCAGUUCAGAUUGCACUCUGCAACCCGAGUGCAUGAAGUCGGAGUUGCUAGUAACCGCGUGUCAGCAUAGCGCGGUGAAUAUGUUCCC
rnacentral:rRNA from 1 species